rnacentral:rRNA from 1 species
UUAAAAGUAAAUAAGGGCGCAUGGUGAAUGCCUAGGCUCUCAGAGGCGAUGAAGGACGUGAUAAGCUGCGAUAAGCUGCGGGUAUUGGCAAAUACGAAUCGAUCCGCAGAUUUCCGAAUGGGGAAACCCGUUAUGUUGAUGACAUAACACAUAUGAGCAAACCCGGAGAACUGAAACAUCUAAGUACCCGGAGGAAGAGAAAACAACAGUGAUUCCCUAAGUAGUGGCGAGCGAACAGGGAUUAGCCCAAACCAUUAUUGUUAAGGCAAAAAUGGGGUUGUAGGACUGAAACAUUUAUGUAUAUCCAAGUAGAAUCAGAUGGAAUUAUGAACUAUAAAGGGUGAGAGUCCCGUAUACGUCAAAAUAUACAUAAUAUCAGUAUCCUGAGUACCGCGAGGUCGGAGACGCCUUGUGGGAAUCCAGCGGCACCAUCCGCUAAGGCUAAAUACUCCUGAGAGACCGAUAGUGAACCAGUACCGUGAGGGAAAGGUGAAAAGAACCUCGAACAGAGGAGUGAAAUAGAACCUGAAACCAUGCGCUUACAAGCGGUUGGAGUCCUUCGGGAUGACAGCGUGCCUUUUGCAUAAUGAACCUACGAGUUACUCCUCACUAGCAAGGUUAAAGAUUUAAGAUCUGCAGCCGAAGCGAAAGCAAGUCUGAAUAGGGCGUAUAGUUAGUGGGGGUAGACGCGAAACCUUGUGAUCUACCCUUGGCCAGGUUGAAGUGACGGUAACACGUCAUGGAGGACCGAACUGAUAAGCGUUGAAAAGCUUCCGGAUGAGUUGAGGGUAGGGGUGAAAGGCUAAUCAAACUGGGAAAUAGCUCGUACUCCCCGAAAUGUUUUUAGGAACAGCCUCGAGCGAAUUGUCAUAGAGGUAGAGCUACUAAUUGGGCUAGGGGGCUUCACCGCCUACCAAACCCAGAUAAACUCCGAAUGCUAUUGACAUAUACUCGGGAGUGAGGCUUGGGGUGCUAAGGUCCCAAGCCGAGAGGGAAAGAACCCAGACCAACAGCUAAGGUCCCUAAAUCUAUUCUAAGUUGAUCAAACGUGGUCCAAUUGCAUUGACAGCUAGGAUGUUGGCUUGGAAGCAGCCAUUCAUUUAAAGAGUGCGUAACAGCUCACUAGUCGAGCGAUCGGGCGUGGAUAAUAAUCGGGCAUUAAGAAUAGUACCGAAGCUUUGGAUAUUUGACUCUGUCAAAUCUGGUAGGGGAGCAUUCUAAUCUGCAUUGAAGGUGAGUCGUAAGGCUUGCUGGAGCGAUUAGAAAAGCAAAUGUAGGUAUAAGUAACGAUAAUGGGGGUGAGAAACCCCCACACCGUAAGACUAAGGUUUCCUGAUCAACGUUAAUCGGAUCAGGGUCAGUCGGGGCCUAAGAAUAAUCCGAAAGGAAAUGUCGAUGGAUAACAGGUUAAUAUUCCUGUACUUGUAUUUUCAGUGAUGGAGCUACGGAGUAGUGAAAGGUCUGCGCACGGACGGAUGUGUGCGUUAAAGCCGGUAGAUAUAAUUGUUGCAGGUAAAUCCACAACGAUUGUCGAUGGUGAUAGUACCGUGAGCCCUCGGGCAAGCGGAUAAGGACCCUAAUCAUGCUUCCAAGAAAAACUUCUAAACUUAUGGAAAUACAACUCGUACCGUAAACCGACACAGGUAGUCGAGGAGAGAAUCCUCAGGUGCUCGAGUGAAUCAUGGCUAAGGAACUCGGCAAAUUAACUCUGUAACUUCGGGAUAAAGAGUGCCCCUCUCGGGGGGCCGCAGUGAAAUGGCUCAGGCGACUGUUUAACAAAAACACAUGGCUUUGCUAAAUCGAAAGAUUACGUAUAAGGCCUGACACCUGCCCGGUGCUGGAAGGUUAAGAGGAGAUGUCAGAAGCAAUUCAAAGCAUUGAAUCGAAGCCCCAGUAAACGGCGGCCGUAACUAUAACGGUCCUAAGGUAGCGAAAUUCCUUGUC